UACGAAGGGGGCUAGCGUUGCUCGGAAUGACUGGGCGUAAAGGGCGCGUAGGCGGUUCGUACAGUCAGACGUGAAAUUCCCGGGCUCAACCUGGGGGCUGCGUUUGAUACGUACGGGCUUGAGUUCGGAAGAGGGUCGUGGAAUUCCUGGUGUAGCGGUGAAAUGCGCAGAUAUCAGGAGGAACACCGAUGGCGAAGGCAGCUCGCUGGGACGGUACUGACGCUGAGGCGCGAAAGCGUGGGGAGCAAACAGG
rnacentral:rRNA from 1 species